UACGGAGGGUGCAAGCGUUAAUCGGAAUAACUGGGCGUAAAGCGCACGCAGGCGGUUGGAUAAGUCAGAUGCGAAAGCCCCGAGCUCAACUUGGGAACUGCCUUUGAUACUGAUAUUCUUGAGUGUAGUUGAGGCAGGCGGAAUACAACAUGUAGCGGUGAAAUGCUUAGAUAUGUUGUAGAACACCAAUGGCGAAGGCAGCCCCCUGGGAUAAUAUUGACGCUCAUGCACGAAAGCGUGGGGAGCAAACAGG
rnacentral:rRNA from 1 species